GGGUCGACUUCGCUAGCGCUGGUAAACGUCGGCUAUUCGUGGUUAGCCUUAGAACCUUUAACGUUGGCAACGUUAAACGUUAGUUACGCUUGUGUUUAUUGUGUAGUCGAAUUUUGUUGAAAAUAUUAAGUAUUUUUUCAUAAGACAGUUUAAAGUAUAUAUUGUAGAGAAAGUGCAAACGAGAAUUCGAAUUAUGGAAAAGUUGGAAAAUACAGUUUGAAUUGAAAAUAUUUGAAAGUGAAAAUGCAUAGUGAAAACGGCACAAAAUCAACUGUAAAUACCAGUUUGUAAAAAAUAUACAUAUAUAUGAAAUUCUAGUGAGCUUACAUAAAAAAUCGACCACUUUUAAGCCAGAAGAAGUCUUGUAAGAAAGCAAUGUAGUUGUUUAAUUUAUUUAGUAUAUAUCGAAUAUAAAGAUGAAUAAUAAAUGGAAAAUGCAUAUUCACGCAUAAAUUUUAAAUGCAGGAUCAUCAGAGUUAAUUACAAUUAAUCGAUAAACUCAGUGCACCCAUAAAUCACAAUGAAAGUGUGACAAUUGCAAGUGUUUAUACUUACAGCGCUGCAUACCAUAUAUAAAAUAUUUGUGUGUAUAUAUCAAUGUAUAUUUAUACAAAAAAAAUAAAUAUAAAAUUAUUAAAGCCCUACUUUAGUGUAUACAAAAUAAAUAAGAAAAUAGUGAAAUCUGAAUUGCCAAGGAGAAGCUAAUGAAGCAUAAUGCAUACAUUUUAUUAUAACGACUGACUGAAAAUAAUUGCGACAAUUUAUUCAUACGUCUACGGGUGCUUCCCGCUUCAAGUAUAAUGAAUCGUUAUAUUACACUCUCACAAUUGGGUGAUGGCACAUACGGCACAGUGGUGUUAGCUCAACGCAAGGACACUGGCGAAAAGGUGGCUAUCAAACGUAUGAAACGAAAAUAUUACUCCUGGGAGGAGGCGAUGAAUUUGCGAGAAGUCAAGUCACUUAAGAAACUCUCUCAUCCUAAUAUUGUAAAACUGAAGGAAGUCAUACGCGAGAAUGACACGUUAUAUUUUGUUUUUGAAUAUAUGAAAGAGAAUUUAUACCAAAUGAUUAAGGACCGUGACACACAUUUGCCAGAACCGACGCUCAAAAGUAUACUGUUUCAGGUACUCACAGGCUUGGCGUUUAUGCACCGCCAUGGAUUUUUCCAUCGUGACUUGAAGCCGGAGAAUUUACUUUGCUCUGGACCGGAGCUUAUUAAAAUUGCAGAUUUCGGCUUAGCACGCGAGGUACGUUCGCGACCGCCAUUCACGGACUAUGUGUCGACAAGAUGGUAUCGAGCGCCAGAGGUACUGCUGCAUUCCACAAACUAUGGCAGUUCCAUAGAUUUAUGGGCAAUGGGUUGCAUCAUGGCGGAGCUCUACACAUUUCGGCCACUCUUUCCGGGUAGCAGUGAAGUGGAUCAGCUGUUUAAGAUUUGUUCUGUUUUAGGAACGCCAGAGAAGGGAGAAUGGCCCGAAGGCUAUAGACUCGCUGCUACGAUACACUUUCGUUAUCCGGAAUGCAUCAAGGUGCCGCUCAAUACGAUUGUGACACGCUGCAGUCAGGCGGGAUUGGAUUUGUUGGAGGACAUGCUGCACUAUGAUCCUGAUAAGCGACCCACGGCACAGCAGAGCCUUAAAUAUGCCUAUUUUCAUGCGCUGAAACGUAUCUCACCCACGGCGGCGGCGAAAGCCAACGUCAAACUUACGGCCAAAUAUGCGGCAGCGGCUCCUGCUGCCAAUAUAAAUGCAACAACCAAUGCGAAUGCGAAUACGAAUGUCAAUGGCAGAAAUGCGGGGCAAUUGCCGAAUUUAUCGAAUAAUGUGCUUCCGGUGCAGGAGAAACUACAAGCGGUUACGGAGCUGCUGCAGCAAGGUAAUCGACAGCACAACAAUAGCAAUACCAUUAAUGCCAAUAACGCCGUAAAUGCAACGUUGAACAACAACAACAAUCGCGGGUACAACAAUAUGUAUGCUAGACGUGCGAUAAUUCCAUUGGCACAAAACCCCAACCAAAUGCAAGCGCCCAAAAUCAGUUUCCUGUCAAUAAAUGGUGGUGAUGCGACACGCUCCACAAUGCCGGUACAAAUGGCAGCUGUAAAUGCGCAGCAAAACACGCAUAUAAACAACAGUAUGCCGGCGAAUGCUAUAAACAAUGCCGCAAAUCGGCAAUUCCGUGACCAACUUGAAGAUAAUCUCUCGAUAAAGAGCGGCUCCAUACGCUACAACACAAUACUCGCGCCCUCCAGUCACAUAUAUCUGAACGGUGUCGGUGAAGCUGCGCUCCACAAGCGUUCACAGGAGAACCUCGCAUUCACCGAGUCCAUAAACGAUAUCUACUUGAAUCGCAACACCGGUCAGUUGCAGCCGCCACAACCGGCAAAUGUUUCUUUCAAUAACAGCGCUAACCCUGUAGGAAAUAUUAAAGCCGGUGUCAUCUAUUUGGCGAAUGGCCAUCGAAAUUAUGCACUCUUUGAGACCGCCACGAAGAAUGCUAAGAAUUCGGCGAAAAUUAAUAACUAUUACCUGCAGACACGUCCAAGCUUGUUGAACCUCGAUGCAGUUGGUAAGGAUGCGAAGGUCUAUAAUAUGUUCUCCAAGGUGGUGCCCAAACAAGCGCCACCAAGCAAUAUAAUUAUGCGUAAUGCCUUCGAACCGAACGGAGACAGCAAUGAUUAUACAAAAAAUAAUGAGCAAACCGUGGAGAAACCACUUUUCGAGCGUCUCGGUGGCGACAAAAAGUCGACCUUGCCGAACGGUCGAAAUACGGAGCGCAGUAAGGACGAUGAACUCGAUCUUAUAUUAGGUUCGAAAAUCAAAACAUCAGCCAAACGUCAACGUCAACGCAAUGGAAAAGCAAAUAUUUUGCUUGAAGAUCUCUUCGGGCACCUAUCGCUCGAUUCGGAUAGCGAAACAACAAAGUAUCCAAAUACAGUUCCAUUAACGACGCAACAACAACAAACAUUAGCGGAACGUAACUCCAAUUUGCCAAAUGGUUAUUCCAAUGAGACUUCAUUGACGGAGAAGAGUAAGAUGUACAUACCUAGUAGCAUUGAAGUAAAUAACGGUAGUUAUGCUGACUCGCUGUCGACAAAUGCUUCUAGUAUAUCUAAGGAUUCACUUGACCCGCCCACAGAUGAUGAGUGCCAAUUUUGGCCCAUUAGGUAGUGGACAGUAAUUAGUUAAUACAACAAAAAAUUAAGAACUAAUAAUUAGCAUACAAAACGGCGGGUAUAUCGAAAAGGAUUGUAUUUCAGAUGUCUUGCUGGUUGCUGAUUCCACGAUUUACGAUAUAGCCAGUACUCAUAAUACCAUAUAGUAUAUACCACCUUCAACUCAUCACAAUCGAAAAUUCUACUUAAUUUGAACUUAAGUGAGUUGAUCCACAGUCCGUUGAGCAGACAAAAGCAAAAAUGCAACCAUGGGACGGUACGAAUAAGACAGAAGAUGAGAAAUUGACGGCGUGG
rnacentral:misc_RNA from 1 species